CAAUAGCAUAUAUUUAAGUUGCUGCAGUUAAAAAGCUCGUAGUUGGAUUUCGGGUGGGAAUGGCCGGUCCGCCGUUUCGGUGUGCACUUGCUACGCCCACCUUGCUGCCGGGGACGUGCUCUUGAGUUCACGCUCGGGACACGGAGUCGGCGAGGUUACUUUGAGUAAAUUAGAGUGUUCAAAGCAGGCCUACGCUCUGAAUACAUUAGCAUGGAAUAACACGAUAGGACUCUGGCCUAUCUUGUUGGUCUGUAGGACCGGAGUAAUGAUUAAGAGGGACAGUCGGGGGCAUUCGUAUUUCAUUGUCAGAGGUGAAAUUCUUGGAUUUAUGAAAGACGAACUACUGCGAAAGCAUUUGCCAAGGAUGUUUUCAUUAA
rnacentral:rRNA from 1 species